AUUAACUAAAUAUGGAUAAUAAGUAUUAGGUCAAACCCUAUAGAAUAUAGAUAUUUGACUAUUUUACCUACAAAAUGGUAAUAUAACAUGAUUUAGCAUAUUUUUUCUUUGCUUUUUUUUCAACAAUCUCUGUCUGGGUGCUCAUCGUUCCUGACACAACUCGACAUUUUCUGGGCAGCCCCCGUGAGACAGGUUGUGGUGCAGGCAGGAGAAGGGUGGCUGUGCUGAUUCACUCUGCCUCUCCAGUUCUGACCAAUCUUCUAUUUCAACUCUGGGAUUCUUUCUUUAAUCUUCAUCUUCUGAAUGAUGUAGCUUUACUGUGAAACUGUCCAAGUGUAAUUAUCAGGCCUGUCAUUGGUAAGGAACCCUUCCCAAGGCUCUGGGAGAGGCCCCAGACAUGUAUUGACAUGUUAAUAUUUGAUUUUUAAAACUUUCACAAAGAAGACAUUUUAAACUUCAGUCAAUUAAGGCCACGAUGUCUUUGCACUCCAACUUCUCUUCCUUCUCCUCCUCUUGGGCUGUAUUGGAGCCGCCGUGGACAAUUUUGAGAUGACCCAAGGAGAAGAUGAGAUGGGCGUAUGUUUGCUGCAAGUGGAGUGGAAUACACUUCUGUGAUUUGCAGUCCCUUCCAUGUAUAAUGGAGUAUUGCUGGCUGUGCAAGUGGAGAAACAACUGGGAAUGCCAACUUGAGGAGCGUCUGGUGGACACCAUCUUGAAUCCAGCACUCUCUCCAUCCCCAGCCAGAAGUGUGUGUUGGUGGUGGGGGAGAGACAAGUUAGAAACAAGGGUGGACUACACGUUCCACCUCAUGCCUGUACCACAAGA
rnacentral:lncRNA from 10 species